UGUGGUCUGAUGGUUAGGACGUUGGUCUAUGAAGUCUAGGGUCUCAGGUUCGAUUCCUGAUA
rnacentral:tRNA from 1 species